rfam:Arabidopsis thaliana chromosome 3, complete sequence.
ACAUGCGAUCAUACCAGCACUAAUGAACUGGAUCCCAUCAGAACUCCGCAGUUAAGCGUGCUUGGGCGAGAGUAGUACUAGGAUGGGUGACCUCCCAAAAAAGUCCUCGUGUUACAUCCC